AAAAUUCAGGGUUAAUACAUUAAGCACAACUGAGCAUGCGCUGAUAGAGCUACCACUUUCAUGUUUACUUACCUGGUUCACAUGUGGCCAAGAUAUCUCCUCAUCGUCAUAUUCUUGUGUACAAUGCCUCAUGAGCUUUUGACUUGCAUUUCUGAGCUUCAGGAUCUGUGUGUAAAAUGAAAUAUUGUACCUCUGUAAAAAGUCUCCUUCCUGGACAGGUACACGACUUUUAGUUUUUGGAGAUGCUAAAGAUUGGCUGGGCUAUCCAAUGAAGGAGACUUUUGAUGUUGUUAACAUGCAAAGUAGAGAGGCGUUGUGAAUGAUACUCUUCUGUGUGCAUUUGUGGUUUGGUAUGAGAAGGAAUCACUUUUGCUUACUGUCUAUACAAAGCCUCACUAUUGAGCCUUGUUCAAGUAAAAUAACCUCUCGUAGUCAGCUGUUUUCAACUUUCAAGACGAUAAUGCAUUGCGACAUUUUGCUGGAUCUGCGUUUUACGCUACAAGAACAUACAGCUUAUGUUUUUACACGAUCUACGUAUACGAGUCUCCAAACGUUGUUGACAAGAAGUUCAGAAACAGUUGCAGAUAGACUUUGAAAAUAUACCUCCGAAGAUGAGCCUGAAAGGUUAAGUCAGAUGCAAAACAGAACAGGCUCACAUGACAAGUAUCGCACAGGGAUGAACAAUGGCUGCUUUCAAGGGCAACAAAGUCUACACCACACAUGCUAUUUGAUGAAGAGCGCCUUAUGAAGCUCAAGGUGGUAGAGCCUUGGGAAAGAUCAUGGAACCAGCAAAUCCGUCUUCAGCUUCAAUUCUGUUCUUUCCAGUGACAGAAGUAAUCCCGUCGUCGAAUAAGGUGGGCAGCCAUCUUCCUCGAAACCAAUUAAAAUUACACUAUCACUUACAUCCUACUUCUAUAAAGUAGGCCUACAACAAGCUCCAGGUUAAUCCCAAGUUAACAGCCGAGACGGAAUUGGUUCAUGGGCAUGGCGCAUCAAUUGCUGAAGAAAGACUUUAUGAUAUUAAUGUUGUUGUUGGGGCCCGUUUUGUUUUUUUUGUUUUUUUUUAAAUUUUUUAUUGUGAGCUAGUCUUUGGAUGCUUUUGCCCAUCAUCGAUGGCAAGAGGCUGAUUGUUAGAAUCCAAGAGAAAUGCCCUCACUCCCUGGGCGAUUAUGGUGCACGCCAUGUUGUCUGAUUUAGGACAUUACAAGCUUAAAUCAGAUAAGCAAGGCAUUUUCUUUCAAUGUGUGCACAUUGUAGCAGCUCUGCCUUCUAGGAAAUUGAUAGUUCUCUGUUUGCGGAUGACUUCACCUUCUUGAUAGAGGAUAGGAGAGCCAUUACUAAUCUCGACAAUAAAGCCACCUAAGCAAUGUUAUAUGGGUGAACUUUUUUCAUGUAAUCAGAAUGAUGUUGUAGGGAACUUCUACAUACAUGUGUAGUAUAUUUGUAGAAUAUGCAGAUAGGUAUGUAUAUAUAUGUAUAUAUAGUUGUAUAUAGUGAUUUGAAGAGACCUGUCUAUAAGCAUGUUAUUUAAGUUCAAACUUUCAUGUAUUGAUAUUAUUAUUAUUUUAAAAUUUCUACUCAUU